rnacentral:rRNA from 1 species
AUGAUUUGUCUGGUUAAUUCCGACAACGAACGAGAUCUUAACCUGCUAAUUAGCGGUAAAUACAACAUAUUCUUAAGUAAAAAAGAAUAUAGAUAAAAAUAACAAAUAAGAGAAUAUAUUAAGAUGUUAUUAUAUAUAAUGUCUUUUUCCCUGUUCUUCUUGUAUUGUUUUUUUAUUCUAUUUCUUUUUUUACGUAAGAAUGUAUUUACUUGAUUGUAAAGCUUCUUAGAGGAACAUUGUGUGUCUAACACAAGGAAGUUUAAGGCAACAACAGGUCUGUGAUGUCCUUAGAUGAACUAGGCUGCACGCGUGCUACACUGAUAUAUAUAACGAGUUAUUAAAAGUAUAUCUUUGUAUAUAUAUAUUCUGUAUAUAUAUACAAAAGAUAUAAUUUUCCUCCACUGAAAAGUGUAGGUAAUCUUUAUCAAUAUAUAUCGUGAUGGGGAUAGAUUAUUGCAAUUAUUAAUCUUGAACGAGGAAUGCCUAGUAAGCAUGAUUUCAUCAGAUUGUGCUGACUACGUCCCUGCCCUUUGUACACACCGCC